UUUCUUUCUUUUUUUCUUUUUUUUUUUUUUAAAUCUCCUAGGGCCGUGUGGUGGCACCAAGGGUGUCUGGCCAUUUAUCUUGCUUUCGUUCCUUUCUAACUUUCUGCUUUCUGUCUUUCCUCUUGUCUUGUGAACUAGGCGAGGUGCGGGGAGGAGGGCAGCAGGAGUAGUAGUGGUCUCCUUCCUUAUUAUUAUUAUUUUGAGACAGAGUCUCGCUCUGUCACCCAGGCUGGAUCGCCACGGCACGAUCUCGGCUCACUGCAACCUCGGCCUCCCCGGUUCAGGCAAGUCGCCUCCUUCGGUGUCCCAAGUAGUCGGGAUUCCAAGCCCGUGCCAUCAGGAGGCCUGGCUAAUUGUUACACUUUUCAUAGAGACCGGGUUCCACCAUGUUGGCCAGCCUGGUCUCCAACUCCUGGCCUCAAGUGAUCCGCCCGCUGCGGCCUCCCGAUGUGCUGGAAUUACAGGCAUGAGCCACCGUGCCCGGCCCACCCAGAUAAUCUUGUUAAUAAAUGGUAGAGAAGGGGUUUCCUCAGCCGCCGGGUGGAGGGAGGGUGGGGUGUGGUUUACUCAGCCUGCAUGCUAUUAAGGGGGUAAAUUAGUGUGGUUUGUGAACUAGAUGUGGAAAGUGUGUGGGGUGUGUGUGUGUGUGUGUGUGUGUGUGUGUGUGUGUGAGAGAGAGAGAGAGAGAGAGAGAGAGAGAGAGAGAGAGAGACCAAUCCCAACACGAGGACCCGGAAAUGGUGUUUGAUUCGGGUCCCUGUCUAGUCACCUGUGUGUCUGUAGAUGACUGAGGGUUGCACAGAGGAAGAUAAGCAGUAUCUGUUGAGCUGUUUCUCCCUCUCACGCGUGUCAUCUCUGUGGUGGAGAAAGGGAAGAAAAGAGGCUCUGAUGGGAAGUUGUCUUCAGGCCGGAGGAAGCUGAAGGCAGGCUGACAGGAAGGAGAGCAUGGCAUGUGACAUUUUGAUACCUGGACACCCUUUAGAAUGCUGGGUCUGCCAGUCCACACCGUAUGUCAACCCACCCCCUAAGAACAGCACGGUCCGGGGUGCUCCAGUCUCGUCCCAUCCGGCCCACCCGGGCCAUCUGGUAGAAGUCUUCGCUGGAGCAUUCGAAAGCAGCGUCAACGCCAUUCCCCUGGGGUCGGCCGGCACAGGCCAGCCUGGGGAGGGUGGCAGGACGUGAGGGGGGCAUCCGCCUCAGAGCUCCCUGGAAGGUGGCAGGCAGCCUGUGGUGGACGCUGAGUCAGAGACGUCUGGCAGGAUAUAGAUCUGGAAGCCGCGUCAGUCCUCUCCCAUACCUCUCCCAUGGAAAUCCCACGGCGUGCGGUGGCUGCGGUGGGAGCCCGGGCUGCGGGAGAAGCGGGGACAAGGGGGACAGGGAAGGAGGCCCUCAGGAGGAUUUAGCACCGAAAACCCACCCACCCAGGCUCCCUCCCUCUUGUUGGGUCCCAGGUGCACCGUGGGAGGCGGCAAGAGAAAGGUUCACUGCGUGCUUUUAGUGUUUCCUCUUUUUCAUUUUACAAGAGAUGCCCCUUUGAACAACCGGACGCUGGAUGUGACGGGAGAAGUUUCAAGGCCAGGAGUUUGAGACCAGGAUGAGCAACUGAGCAACAUAAGUAGGGGAGGCCAGCUGAAAAACAAUGAGAGGAGGAGGAGGAGGAGGAGGAGGA
rnacentral:lncRNA from 1 species